AUUGAACGCUGGCGGCAUGCCUUACACAUGCAAAUCGAACGGUAACGGGCCUUCGGGUGCCGACGAGUGGCGAACGGGUGAGUAAUACAUCGGAACGUGCCCGAUCGUGGGGGAUAACGAGGCGAAAGCUUUGCUAAUACCGCAUACGAUCUACGGAUGAAAGCAGGGGACCGCAAGGCCUUGCGCGGGCGGAGCGGCCGAUGGCAGAUGAGGUAGUUGGUGGGAUAAAAGCUUACCAAGCCGACGAUCUGGAGCUGGUCUGAGAGGAUGAUCAGCCACACUGGGACUGAGACACGGCCCAGACUCCUACGGGAGGCAGCAGUGGGGAAUUUUGGACAAUGGGCGCAAGCCUGAUCCAGCCAUGCCGCGUGCAGGAUGAAGGCCUUCGGGUUGUAAACUGAUUUUGUACGGAACGAAAAGCCUUCUUUUAAUACAGGAGGGUCAUGACGGUACCGUAAGAAUAAGCACCGGCUAACUACGUG
rnacentral:rRNA from 1 species